AACGAACGCUGGCGGCAUGCCUAACACAUGCAAGUCGAACGAGACCUUCGGGUCUAGUGGCGCACGGGUGCGUAACGCGUGGGAACCUGCCCUUAGGUUCGGAAUAACUCCCCGAAAGGGGUGCUAAUACCGGAUAAUGUCUUCGGACCAAAGAUUCAUCGCCUUUGGAUGGGCCCGCGUUGGAUUAGCUUGUUGGUAGGGUAAAAGCCUACCAAGGCGACGAUCCAUAGCUGGUCUGAGAGGAUGAUCAGCCACACUGGGACUGAGACACGGCCCAGACUACUACGGGAGGCAGCAGUGGGGAAUAUUGGACAAGGGGCGAAAGCCUGAUACAGCAAUGACGCGUGAGUGAUGAAGGCAUUAGGGUUGUAAAGCUCUUUUAACCGGGAUGAUAAUGACAGUACCGGGAGAAUAAGCUCCGGCUAACUCCGUG
rnacentral:rRNA from 1 species